GACGUUCGCAUGGACGCCGAAGACAAUGGGGCAAAAAGGACGCGAUCAACACACCCUUGCUCUGGCGGGCGAAAUUAAAACGCAUCAGUCAUUUACAGCAGGUAUUUUGAGAGUUAACUACUCACUCCUGCUCCCUUCUGAAUCAUCUGAACAGCUACCUUGAGGAAUCUGAGUUCCCAGUGGGUCACCAUGGAUACCGGUAGAGGUUCAGACUCAUCUCAGGAGUCAGAGGAGGAGAGAAGGAGCCCCGCUGCGGCUGGCAGGGCAGAACGUCGUGUUUUAACAGCAAUGCCAUGGGACUACCCACAAUCCCCCAGAUACACCAUCUCUAGUAGCUGUAACUAAGGAUGCCCUUGCUGUGAUCUCCUCUCAGAGCACUCUAUAGGCGGGCCCUCUCCCCCUUGAAUUUCUUUAAACAUUUUGAUUUAAUUUUGCAUUGCAGUAUUCUGACCAUGGGUUACUUACCCGUUUUGGUUUGACAAGUGACCUUUUUAUUUGCAUUUGAACUAAAAUGACUGAUUGUAAAAUACCUUAGUGUCACAAUCUUAACAACAACACCUGCUCAAUCACACUGGCACUGCAGCAAGUGUAAAUGCUACGCUAAGUGUAUAAAAGACACAAUUGGCAUCCAAAAUCACCUACUAGAAUAAGUACUACAUUUGAAAUUGAAGUAUGAUUUUAAGUCUAUAGUAUGACUUUGAGAAGUAUGAAUGAAAUGUCACUAAACUUGGGUCAGACUCUUAGGAGGCUAGAAACAGCAUGCUAAAAAACAGCAUAAUGUAUAAUCAAGUAGAAUGUUAAAACAUGUUAGACAUGUAGAAGCAAUGCUAACAUGCUACUUCAUAUUACUAUAGUGUUAAUGUUAGAUAUUUGCUAGCAUGGUGUUAAAACAUUUUAAGAUGUUACAGCUCAUUAGCCAUGUGUGGAAACAUGUUAGCAACUUUUUAAUGCAUGUUAGCAUAAUGUAAAAACAUUUAAAGUGUAGUAACAUGAUAAAAAAUAUGCUAGUAAAAAGCUGUUUGCUAUAUUUAUUGGUGAAAUGUUAAGCCUAUUUAUAUACCAGCAUAUAUGUUAAAACAUUUUAGCCAUGUUGAAACAUAAAGCUAAAACAUGUUCAUGCAUGUUAGAAACAAAGUAGCAUGGUUAAACAUGCUAGCAACAUGCUAAAUGUUAAAAUGUUUACUAUUUACUUACUCCCAGGGCGUUUAUAUCGAAGUUGAUAUUUGGUCACACCAUGUUGGUGUUUCAUAACAUCAAAUAUUUAGGAGGUGUGUUGUUAGCUCAAUGCUCAACCCCCAACCUGGAGGACCAGGACAUACACACACUAUGGACAGUUUAGCUUACCCAAUUCACCCAUGGUGCAUGUCUUUGGACUUGUGCGGGAAACCAGAGCACCCAGUGGAAACCCACGUGAACACAGGAAGAACAUGCAAACUCCACACUGAAAUGCCAACUGACCUAGCCGGGGCUCGAACCAGUGACCUUCUUGCUGUGAGGCGACAGUGCUAGCCACUGUGCCACCCAAAAUGUUAACAAUUUUUUUUUAACAAAUUUAUAACACCUUAGCUAUGUGUUAUAAUGUUAGAAGCAUGCUGGUGACCUUGAAGAUAACAAGUAAACAUUGUGGUAAAACAUCAACACAUAAGCAACACCAUGUUAAUACAUUUUUUCUCUUCCUCGAAAACACGUGUACAUUACAGAAAUGUCUAUUUGUGCUUUACCUCUGCUAGACAUGUUUUUAGACUUUAUGCUCAUCUCCAAUAUGAGAUAACUGAAAUGUAAAAUCAAUCUUUAGACUUUGUCUUUAUUUCUUUCAUACUUUAAAUUUCACCCUAUAGGUUAGCUACUUACAGCUUACACAAACGUUCAGACAAGGCUUUGUCAGACUUCACGUUGCUAUAUUUGCUGUACCUUGCAAUUGUAUGAGUGUUUUCCCUCUUAACAGUGUUUAUCUGCUCUCUUUUGUGUAGUAGACACAAAUACACACUCGGGCAUGUAAUUUUGUCAUUUUUUUUUCUGGUAAAAGAUUUAGAUUUAAAUGAGCUUCACUGAUUCAUUUUAGUCCAAUUUCUCCACUUCUGUAUAAUUUGUAUUUUUUAAUACUGCCUGCAAUAUGCAAUAACAUUACUGGUUUCAUACUUAUACUGCCUCUUUUUCACACACCACUUGCUUUUUCACGGUUUCAAUCUAUUUUUGAUUAUUUUCUCCCUGCAGGUGCAGCUUUCUGUCUCUCUCUCUUCCCGAGAGUGAGUAAUAACUGAGAGGUCAUAAGAAGAGCAUCCUGUUUGAGUAAUGAAACCAUGACUAUAUGAGGGGAGGAUAAGCAGCACAUCUGGGCCAGCCCUAUCAUCUCUAAAUGCAGAUAAAGACAAACAUUGUGCAAAAUGAGUUGCAAACCACUUCAAAUCAUGCAGGCUGAUUAGCAGGUUAUGACUUUUCUAACAGACAGGCAAAUGUUAACUUAGACUAAGAAAAAUGUUCUUGGACUUUGAGGGAAUGUGUUUUUUAUAUCAGACACACACAGUGCAAAAUAAAAAGAAUUUAAUACAAACUUCAA